rnacentral:rRNA from 1 species
AUGAUGAGGAAAAAUUUAUUGGAAUUUAUGAUUACAACGUAUGACAGUACUAGAAAGCGAUUUAUUAUUCGGCCAAAUACUGACGGCCUCAGUGUGCUUAAUGAAGAUGUUUACGAUAUAUUUGGGCUACAUAACAAGGGUGAUGAUGUCAGUAGCAUGAUAGCAACAGUACAACUAGAUGCCAAAAAAAUUGUUCCGAAUCGGUUUGUAGACAAAAGAACAGGCCUAAUCCUCAUCGAUGAGUUGAUAAAAAAUAUUGUUGAUACUCAGUCAUAUGAUGAUGAUUUUGUGAGAAGGGCCGUACUGGUUCUUAUGGGUACAGUCUUAGCACCACAAUCCACCAAGUUUGUUCCUUAUCGUUAUUACAAAAUGGUGGAGGACGUGAACGCUAUAAAGUCAUACAGUUGGAACAAUUUCACGUUGGAGGUGUGCAUGGAAGCUAUUAAAAAAUCGGUCGAAGAUCUUGAAAAAUUCAAGUGGCCUAUCGGGAACUUGGCUCUUCUUCAGUAUAUAUACUGGGAAAAAGUUGAGCCAAUUGGUGUGGAUACAUUUGAUCCUUUGUCUCAUGAAUACCCACUAAUGGUUAACUGGCCAGAAACGGAAGGGAAAAAGAGAGACGACUAUGACAACAUGCACGGGCGUGGCACCGGCAAUCUUGAAAACUGCGUUAGCAAAGAGUACAGACGUGCUAAGAUAGCACGUGAAGGGACUAUCCCAGAUGAAGAAACGAAGAAACCUAAACGGAAAGGUGGUGGCAGGAGUAGAAAUCCAAACACGUCAGGGGUUUCAUCGAACACGACUAACAGUAUGGACCGUGUGAUGACAUACAUAAAGCUGCUUCACAAGGAGAUGGUAAUGGAAAAGUUGAACACGGAAGGUGUGCUGUACAAACCCAAUAAGAGGGACACCAAUGACGAAUUUGAUAAUGUAGGUUAA